ACGAACGCUGGCGGCGUGCUUAACACAUGCAAGUCGAACGGAAAGGCCCUGCUUGCAGGGUACUCGAGUGGCGAACGGGUGAGUAACACGUGGGUGAUCUGCCCUGCACUUCGGGAUAAGCCUGGGAAACUGGGUCUAAUACCGGAUAGGAGCCAUUUUUAGUGUUAUGGUUGGAAAGUUUUUUCGGUGUAGGAUGAGCUCGCGGCCUAUCAGCUUGUUGGUGGGGUAAUGGCCUACCAAGGCGGCGACGGGUAGCCGGCCUGAGAGGGUGGACGGCCACAUUGGGACUGAGAUACGGCCCAGACUCCUACGGGAGGCAGCAGUGGGGAAUAUUGCACAAUGGGCGCAAGCCUGAUGCAGCGACGCCGCGUGGGGGAUGACGGCCUUCGGGUUGUAAACUCCUUUCGCUAGGGACGAAGCUUUUUGUGACGGUACCUAGAUAAGAAGCACCGGCUAACUACGUG
rnacentral:rRNA from 1 species